UUGAGGCGAUUUCCCUCAGUUAGGCUGGCCCCAGAACAGGUGUGCAUUGCUGUCGUCAGCUGUGUCGUGAGAUGUUGGGUUAAGUCCCGCAACGAGCGCAACCCUCGCCCUUAGUUGCCAGCAUUUAGUUGGGCACUCUAAGGGGACUGCCGGUGAUAAGCCGAGAGGAAGGUGGGGAUGACGUCAAGUCCUCAUGGCCCUUACGGGCUGGGCUACACACGUGCUACAAUGGUGGUGACAGUGGGCAGCGAGACAGCGAUGUCGAGCUAAUCUCCAAAAGCCAUCUCAGUUCGGAUUGCACUCUGCAACUCGAGUGCAUGAAGUUGGAAUCGCUAGUAAUCGCAGAUCAGCAUGCUGCGGUGAAUACGUUCCCGGGCCUUGUACACACCGCCCGUCACACCAUGGGAGUUGGUUUUACCCGAAGGUAGUGCGCUAACCGCAAGGAGGCAGCUAACCACGGUAGGGUCAGCGACGGGGU
rnacentral:rRNA from 1 species